rnacentral:rRNA from 1 species
ACUCCUACGGGAGGCAGCAGUCGGGAAUUUUGGGCAAUGGGCGAAAGCCUGACCCAGCAACGCCGCGUGAAGGAUGAAAUCCUUCGGGAUGUAAACUUCGCAAGAAUAGGAAGAAUUAGUAGGGGCUAAUACCCCCUAUGAUGACGGUACUAUUUGUAAGCUCCGGCUAACUCCGUGCCAGCAGCCGCGGUAAUACGGGGGGAGCAAGCGUUGUUCGGAUUUACUGGGCGUAAAGCGCGUGUAGGUGGUUAUCUAAGUCGAUUGUAAAAGCCCUAGGCUCAACCAAGGAAGUGCAUUCGAAACUAGUUAACUAGAGGACGGCAGAGGAAGGUGGAAUUCCAAGUGUAGAGGUGAAAUUCGUAGAUAUUUGGAGGAAUACCGGCGGCGAAGGCGGCCUUCUGGACCGUUCCUGACACUGAGACGCGAAAGCGUGGGGAGCAAACAGGAUUAGAUACCCUGGUAGUCCACGCCGUAAACGAUGGGUACUAGAUGUUGCGGGAAUUGACCCCUGCAGUGUCGACGCUAACGCAUUAAGUACCCCGCCUGGGAAGUACGGCCGCAAGGUUAAAACUUAAAGGAAUUGACGG